ACAACUCUUCAAAUGAAAUAUUUAUUAUUAUAUUUGAUUUUCAUUAAAUUUUUACUUAACUGGUAAUUUAUUUUAAAGUUUAAGUAACAACAAAUAAAUACAGGAACAAAGAUUCAAGCCACACUAUUCAAUGCUACAAUAGCAACAUUUGAGGAAUACAUCCAUCUCAACAAUACCAUUAUCAUCAAGAAUGAUAUAGUCAGGCCUAUAAAUAGGAAAUAUGCAUCGGUGAAUCCGAAUUUUGAGCUUGCUUUUGGACAAAACACAAAAAUUACAGUAUCCAAAAAUAAAAUCAAUAUCGGUACCCUACCAUUUUCAUUCAAGCGAUUCGAAGAGGUGACAAAGACAAAUAAUGAAAAUAUAUUUUUCGGUAUGCUAAAUUUUUAAUCUUAAUAACAUAGCAUUUGUAAUACAAAAUUAAAUUUUUAAGCACUAAAAUUUUAAUAUUUAUACAGAUGUGUUAGGAUUCAUCACUUCAGUAAGACCGUUGUACACAACAAAUACAUCAGUUAGAAGGGAGAUCACAAUAAUGAAUGAAGAGAUGGAUCCAUUGGUAUUAACAUUAUGGGGAGAGCAUGCAGA